GGCGAAGCUGAGCACACGCCGCGUGGGUGAGAAGGCCUUCCGGUCGUAAAGCCCUGCUCUUGUGGGAAGAAUGGCCUAGGGGGAUUAAUACCCUUCUUGGAGAUGACGGUACCUCCAGAGGAAAGCUCCGGCUAACAUCCGUGCCAGCAGCCGCGGUAAUA
rnacentral:rRNA from 1 species